rnacentral:tRNA from 1 species
AAGGGUAUAGCUCAGUGGUAGAGCGUGUGCUUAGCAUGCACACGGUCCUGGGUUCAAUCCCCAGUACCUCCA